AGCGUACACGGUGGAUGCCCUGGCAGUCAGAGGCGAUGAAGGACGUGCUAAUCUGCGAUAAGCGUCGGUAAGGUGAUAUGAACCGUUAUAACCGGCGAUUUCCGAAUGGGGAAACCCAGUGUGAUUCGUCACACUAUCAUUAACUGAAUCCAUAGGUUAAUGAGGCGAACCGGGGGAACUGAAACAUCUAAGUACCCCGAGGAAAAGAAAUCAACCGAGAUUCCCCCAGUAGCGGCGAGCGAACGGGGAGCAGCCCAGAGCCUGAAUCAGUGUGUGUGUUAGUGGAAGCGUCUGGAAAGGCGCGCGAUACAGGGUGACAGCCCCGUACACAAAAAUGCACAUGCUGUGAGCUCGAUGAGUAGGGCGGGACACGUGGUAUCCUGUCUGAAUAUGGGGGGACCAUCCUCCAAGGCUAAAUACUCCUGACUGACCGAUAGUGAACCAGUACCGUGAGGGAAAGGCGAAAAGAACCCCGGCGAGGGGAGUGAAAAAGAACCUGAAACCGUGUACGUACAAGCAGUGGGAGCACGCUUAGGCGUGUGACUGCGUACCUUUUGUAUAAUGGGUCAGCGACUUAUAUUCUGUAGCAAGGUUAACCGAAUAGGGGAGCCGAAGGGAAACCGAGUCUUAACUGGGCGUUAAGUUGCAGGGUAUAGACCCGAAACCCGGUGAUCUAGCCAUGGGCAGGUUGAAGGUUGGGUAACACUAACUGGAGGACCGAACCGACUAAUGUUGAAAAAUUAGCGGAUGACUUGUGGCUGGGGGUGAAAGGCCAAUCAAACCGGGAGAUAGCUGGUUCUCCCCGAAAGCUAUUUAGGUAGCGCCUCGUGAAUUCAUCUCCGGGGGUAGAGCACUGUUUCGGCAAGGGGGUCAUCCCGACUUACCAACCCGAUGCAAACUGCGAAUACCGGAGAAUGUUAUCACGGGAGACACACGGCGGGUGCUAACGUCCGUCGUGAAGAGGGAAACAACCCAGACCGCCAGCUAAGGUCCCAAAGUCAUGGUUAAGUGGGAAACGAUGUGGGAAGGCCCAGACAGCCAGGAUGUUGGCUUAGAAGCAGCCAUCAUUUAAAGAAAGCGUAAUAGCUCACUGGUCGAGUCGGCCUGCGCGGAAGAUGUAACGGGGCUAAACCAUGCACCGAAGCUGCGGCAGCGACGCUUAUGCGUUGUUGGGUAGGGGAGCGUUCUGUAAGCCUGUGAAGGUGUGCUGUGAGGCAUGCUGGAGGUAUCAGAAGUGCGAAUGCUGACAUAAGUAACGAUAAAGCGGGUGAAAAGCCCGCUCGCCGGAAGACCAAGGGUUCCUGUCCAACGUUAAUCGGGGCAGGGUGAGUCGACCCCUAAGGCGAGGCCGAAAGGCGUAGUCGAUGGGAAACAGGUUAAUAUUCCUGUACUUGGUGUUACUGCGAAGGGGGGACGGAGAAGGCUAUGUUGGCCGGGCGACGGUUGUCCCGGUUUAAGCGUGUAGGCUGGUUUUCCAGGCAAAUCCGGAAAAUCAAGGCUGAGGCGUGAUGACGAGGCACUACGGUGCUGAAGCAACAAAUGCCCUGCUUCCAGGAAAAGCCUCUAAGCAUCAGGUAACAUCAAAUCGUACCCCAAACCGACACAGGUGGUCAGGUAGAGAAUACCAAGGCGCUUGAGAGAACUCGGGUGAAGGAACUAGGCAAAAUGGUGCCGUAACUUCGGGAGAAGGCACGCUGAUAUGUAGGUGAAGUCCCUCGCGGAUGGAGCUGAAAUCAGUCGAAGAUACCAGCUGGCUGCAACUGUUUAUUAAAAACACAGCACUGUGCAAACACGAAAGUGGACGUAUACGGUGUGACGCCUGCCCGGUGCCGGAAGGUUAAUUGAUGGGGUUAGCGCAAGCGAAGCUCUUGAUCGAAGCCCCGGUAAACGGCGGCCGUAACUAUAACGGUCCUAAGGUAGCGAAAUUCCUUGUCGGGUAAGUUCCGACCUGCACGAAUGGCGUAAUGAUGGCCAGGCUGUCUCCACCCGAGACUCAGUGAAAUUGAACUCGCUGUGAAGAUGCAGUGUACCCGCGGCAAGACGGAAAGACCCCGUGAACCUUUACUAUAGCUUGACACUGAACAUUGAGCCUUGAUGUGUAGGAUAGGUGGGAGGCUUUGAAGUGUGGACGCCAGUCUGCAUGGAGCCGACCUUGAAAUACCACCCUUUAAUGUUUGAUGUUCUAACGUUGACCCGUAAUCCGGGUUGCGGACAGUGUCUGGUGGGUAGUUUGACUGGGGCGGUCUCCUCCUAAAGAGUAACGGAGGAGCACGAAGGUUGGCUAAUCCUGGUCGGACAUCAGGAGGUUAGUGCAAUGGCAUAAGCCAGCUUGACUGCGAGCGUGACGGCGCGAGCAGGUGCGAAAGCAGGUCAUAGUGAUCCGGUGGUUCUGAAUGGAAGGGCCAUCGCUCAACGGAUAAAAGGUACUCCGGGGAUAACAGGCUGAUACCGCCCAAGAGUUCAUAUCGACGGCGGUGUUUGGCACCUCGAUGUCGGCUCAUCACAUCCUGGGGCUGAAGUAGGUCCCAAGGGUAUGGCUGUUCGCCAUUUAAAGUGGUACGCGAGCUGGGUUUAGAACGUCGUGAGACAGUUCGGUCCCUAUCUGCCGUGGGCGCUGGAGAACUGAGGGGGGCUGCUCCUAGUACGAGAGGACCGGAGUGGACGCAUCACUGGUGUUCGGGUUGUCAUGCCAAUGGCACUGCCCGGUAGCUAAAUGCGGAAGAGAUAAGUGCUGAAAGCAUCUAAGCACGAAACUUGCCCCGAGAUGAGUUCUCCCUGACUCCUUGA
rnacentral:rRNA from 1 species